rnacentral:rRNA from 1 species
GUCGAGCGACAGAGAAGGAGUUUGCUCCUUUGACGUUAGCGGCGGACGGGUGAGUAACACGUGGGUAACCUACCUAUAAGACUGGGAUAACUUCGGGAAACCGGAGCUAAUACCGGAUAAUAUUUCGAACCGCAUGGUUCGAUAGUGAAAGAUGGUUUUGCUAUCACUUAUAGAUGGACCCGCGCCGUAUUAGCUAGUUGGUAAGGUAACGGCUUACCAAGGCGACGAUACGUAGCCGACCUGAGAGGGUGAUCGGCCACACUGGAACUGANACACGGUCCAGACUCCUACGGGAGGCAGCAAUAGGGAAUCUUCCGCAAUGGGCGAAAGCCUGACUGAGCAACGCCGCGUGAGUGAUGAAGGUCUUCGGAUCGUACAACUCUGUUAUUAGGGAAGAACAUACGUGUAAGUAACUGUGCACGUCUUGACGGUACCUAAUCAGAAAGCCACGGCUAACUACGUGCCAGCAGCCGCGGUAAUACGUAGGUGGCAAGCGUUAUCCCGAAUUAUUGGGCGUAAAGCGCGCGGUAGGCGGUUUUUUAA